UGAGCCGUUAAGAUCGAUGCAGACUCUCUCAUGCUAGGCUAGGGUUUCUGAUAAUUGCAAUUGCUUUGGCACGCAGCAGUCGCAGCAGAAGAAUAUGGCAUCCGCCUCUGUCGCACUCUCAGCUCUCCCAAUCUCACCCUUCUCUACCUCUCAACCCCACAGAAACCGAUGCGCCUUCUCUUCUCCCUCCCUUCCCUGCCACGUUCCCCACUAUAACUUGACAACAUUUCUCGGCGCAAGGCUUUCUAUUCGAAUUCCGAAUGUAAAGCACAUGGCUUCCAAGCAUCGGACGGCCAUCGCCACCGUCCUCUUCAGCCUCCCAACCGCGAAGCCCGACAGGAUUUCUACUGGGAAGAGCCCCAAAUGGUCCGCCAGAGCGAUAAAGUCGUUUGCUAUGGCUGAAUUGGAAGCAAGGAAGCUUAAAUAUCCCAAUACAGGGACCGAAGCACUUCUCAUGGGGAUUUUGGUUGAGGGAACAAGCCUAGCUGCAAAGUUUCUUAGAGCCAAUGGAAUUACACUCUUCAAGGUUCGAGAUGAAACUGUAAAUUUACUUGGAAAAUCAGACAUGUACUAUUUCAGCCCUGAGCAUCCUCCAUUAACUGAACCAGCCCAGAGAGCCCUUGAUUGGGCUUUUGAUCAAAAACUAAAAUCAGGAGAAAAUGGGGAAAUAACAGUAACUCAUCUGCUUCUUGGGAUUUGGUCUGAAAAAGAGUCGGCAGGUUACAAGAUCUUGGCGUCCCUAGGUUUUGAUGAUGAUAAAGCUACAGAGCUUUCCAAAUCUAUGGAUAAGGAUUAUGAUCGCACCUUUAAAUAAGGAGGCAAAAAUGCUUUUUUUUUUCUUUUUCAAACAAUCGCUUGCUGUCAAACAUCCUCCUACACAGCCUCCAAAAGAUAUUGCUUCCUGGUGCUUUUAUUGAGGAAGUUCCUCUGCAUAUGGUGCCAAGUCGGUUGAAGAAACAGCUAAUUCAAAGUGCAUAAGCUUAAGAGGUUCGGAUGUUUUAAGUUUAACUAUCUUUGUUUAAAAAUAUAUAAGUCCAGAUUUAACGGUAAAGCAUCCGGACUAUUCAGUACUCCAGAGCAUCUAAAAAUUGCCAUAGGAAGGGCAAGGCGUUGCGUUGUGUCAUCAUCCAUGAGUCCAUCCAGUGCAGCCUUAAGUUGAGACGAAACCUUAUUUACACUAGUCUAAAACAAGACAAUGAAAUUGUCUGCCUGUGGAAUUCCUCGCAAAAUAUCCGGCCUCGCAUUUGGCAUGGACUAUUCUUAAGAUGGGAUGGACCAUGCGGAGUGGGGUUUACUUUCUCUGUCACCGGGAUAACUUUUACAUUGUAUCAAUUUUGAAAAGCUAAAAGAGCAAGGCCUGUAGAUUGUAGAAUUAACUAAUGACUCACUUUGAAUAUGUGAUUGCAGGGAAUUUAUAGCAGAAGUCAUUGAGGAAUGUUGAGUGUCUUGAUAAAACUGAGGUGUAAAUCUGCAGUGGACUGGAGUUUGUUAGGUGCCUGCGGUGGAUCUGGAGCUCUUCAUGCACCCAGGAAUGCACCUUCGUUUUAACAAUACAAAAUAACAGAUUUUGUGCCAGUUCAUGGGAACACAUUAUGCAUGUAUGAUGAAGGAAGCAAAACCGUUAAAUUGAAUCGUCAAUUAUGAAUGUCAAGGCGGGAAAGAGAGAAAUUGCUUUUGCUAAAUACCGAGUUGUGGUGUGUGUGUGUGUUUGUGUAGCUUGUGAGUUCUGACUAAUUUUACAGGGUGAACCACAAAAGUAAUUACUCGAGAGAACAAAGUUUCAUCAGCUU